rnacentral:rRNA from 1 species
UCCUACGGGAGGCAGCAGUGGGGAAUCUUAGACAAUGGGGGCAACCCUGAUCUAGCCAUGCCGCGUGAGUGAUGAAGGCCCUAGGGUCGUAAAGCUCUUUCGCCUGUGAAGAUAAUGACUGUAGCAGGUAAAGAAACCCCGGCUAACUCCGUACCAGCAGCCGCGGUAAUACGGAGGGGGUUAGCGUUGUUCGGAAUUACUGGGCGUAAAGCGCACGUAGGCGGACUAUUAAGUCAGAGGUGAAAUCCCAGGGCUCAACCCUGGAACUGCCUUUGAUACUGGUAGUCUUGAGUUCGAGAGAGGUGAGUGGAAUUCCGAGUGUAGAGGUGAAAUUCGUAGAUAUUCGGAGGAACACCAGUGGCGAAGGCGGCUCACUGGCUCGAUACUGACGCUGAGGUGCGAAAGUGUGGGGAGCAAACAGGAUUAGAUACCCUGGUAGUCCACACCGUAAACGAUGAAUGCCAGACGUCGGGCAGUAUACUGUUCGGUGUCACACCUAACGGAUUAAGCAUUCCGCCUGGGGAGUACGGUCGCAAGAUUAAAACUCAAAUGAAUUGACGGA